rnacentral:rRNA from 1 species
UACAGAGGGUGCGAGCGUUAAUCGGAAUUACUGGGCGUAAAGCGUGCGUAGACGGCUAUCUAAGUCGGGUGUGAAGCCCGGCUCAACCUGGAAUUGCAUUCGAGACUGAAUAGCUAGGGUACGGUAGAGGGAAGUGGAAUUCCGGUGUAGCGGUGAAAUGCGUAGAUAUCGGAAGGAACAUCAGUGGCGAAAGCGACUUCCUGGACCAGUACCG